rnacentral:rRNA from 1 species
CCCAAUUCUAACAGCAUAAGAGAGGUAGUGACAAGAAAUAACAAUACAAGGCAAUUAAAAUGCUUUGUAAUUGGAAUGAUAGAAAUUUAAACACUUUUUAAAGUAUCAAUUGGAGGGCAAGUCUGGUGCCAGCAGCCGCGGUAAUUCCAGCUCCAAUAGCGUAUAUUAAAAUUGUUGCAGUUAAAAAGCUCGUAGUUGAAUUUCUGCUAAGAAUAACCGGUCUGCUUUUA